rnacentral:rRNA from 1 species
GACGGAGGGCGUGAGUGUUAUUCGUUUUGAUUGGGUGUAAAGGGUAUGUAGGUGGCUCACAGUGGUUUGGCAAAAAAGGCGGAGUGUUCCUAUGCCGUUGCCUCUGAUGACGUGAGCUUGUGUUGGGGAUAGGUAGGUACAAGUUCUCAUGUAGGGUAAAAUCCAACCAGAUGAGAACGUACGUCAGUCGGCGGAGGCGACUUUCCAGCUUCAACAGACACUAAGGUACGGAAGCUUAGGGCGCAAACGGGG